UGAGGCAUAAACUUUUAUUCUUCCCCGACAAUCCCACUUCGUCUUCACCGAUUGAAUUCUCUGCAAUUUGCCGUUACCUUGACCAACGCUUCAUCAAUCUAUUAUGCGUAUAAGUCUUCUUAAAUGGUUUCGUUUCACCUCCCCCUCUUUCUCCUUCUAUUUAAAAUGCUCCAUCUGAUUUCUAAUCACCCCUAAUAGAAAACCUCCCCUGAAGAACAUAAGAAGCUACAGCUACGAGUACCUGGAUGAAUCGAUGUUAAUACUGGAGAAUACACCUAGGAGCUGGCCCUUGCAACCUCUCCAAUAAAGAUUCUCUCCUCCAUGAGCGUUUGUUUCUCGAAGACUUCGAUGAUGUUAUGCCUUUGAAUUGAAAUAAUCGUCCUCUGUCCUCUGCUUCCGCCUCUGUUCUUCAGUGAUCUUCGCUUUCUGAAAUCUUAUCAUGCUCUUUGUCGGAAACAUGGCUUACCUGAUGUAUAGCAAUCGAAAUUAACCUUCUUUCUCAAAAGCUCGAGUCUGUACGUUUCAUGAUCGUGUUGGUUUCAGACACCGGUCUUGAAGGUCGUCUCUCUUCCGCUGCUGCUUCCAUUUCAUGUCUUGGAACCUAGACAGUCCAGUUCAGACAGAAAUGGCAGUGGCGGUCUUCAUAUAAGAACUCCAACUCUCUCAUCUCAAAAACAAAAACCUCCAGGCAAACUAACUGCUUUUGUAUAAUUUUUCAUGCGUUCCAAAUGGCAGGAAAAUUGUGCCUGAGCUCUAUGUCGUCAUCUAGAGUUUUUUUGGACCACGACGUUGACCCCACCAAAGAAUACUUGAACUGGUAGACUGUGAAUCCAGCUGUUGCUUCGUCAGGGAACCCUGUAGAGGUUGCUAAUGUUGAAACUCUCACAAUACUUGAGAUUGCUGCCUUCAUCAAGCGUCAGCCUUCUAAGAUUGCCUACUUUGACUGCAUUGCCACAAUUGAUGAUGUCAAGCUUGGCACUGGGUGGUAUUACAUUGCUUGCAAGGAUUAUCAGACAAAACAUAUUUGCAUUCUGAAAAGUGUACAAUAAUCACUUCUCCUUUAGCACAGCUACCGGGUGGAAAUAUCUGUCUAUGAUAGUGGGGAGCAUAGCACUUUCAUCAUUCUUGGAGAUGCUGGGAAAGAGCUGACAUGCAGAAAAGCAACAGAGUUAAUCGAUAUUUAUGCUGUGGAAAAUGGUGGUGAUGGUGCUGAGCUUGAGGUCCCAAUACUACAAUGUUUCAGUGAUACCAUAGGACAGAAACAAAUUCAGGAUCAAGGUGGCCCACUUCAAUUUCACAUCAAACAGACUAUCCUUGAUUGUUAUAAAAAAAGUCUCCCCUGCAGUCUUACCACCGAAGGAUCACCCACUUGACAUGGCUGCUAUGCCUAUUUCUUCAAGCCAAAACAACCCUGCAGCAACCUGAGAGAAGAAAUCAAAGCGCAUCAGGCGUAAUGGUUAGCUCAUCCUACACUCAUGUCACUCCAUCAAUGGCUGAUACAGAGUUCAGGCUGCCGAGUCAGCAUGCUUUUCUAAUAAUUUUUUUACUUUGGUAUUAGUUUUUCUUUUCAACAAUUCAUUUUUUUCCUCAAAACAGAACCAACUAAAUAAAUAAUGAAAUCAUGGGACC